rnacentral:rRNA from 1 species
GAUGAACGCUGGCGGCGUGCUUAACACAUGCAAGUCGAACGAAGCACCUUAUUCUGAUUUCUUCGGAAUGAAAAAUUUGGUGACUGAGUGGCGGACGGGUGAGUAACGCGUGGGUAACCUGCCUCAUACAGGGGGAUAACAGUUAGAAAUGACUGCUAAUACCGCAUAAGCGCACGCUACCGCAUGGUAGCGUGUGAAAAACUCCGGUGGUGUGAGAUGGAUCCGCGUCUGAUUAGCCAGUUGGCGGGGUAACGGCCCACCAAAGCGACGAUCAGUAGCCGACCUGAGAGGGUGACCGGCCACAUUGGGACUGAGACACGGCCCAA